rnacentral:rRNA from 1 species
CCUACGGGAGGCAGCAGUGGGGAAUAUUGCACAAUGGGGGAAACCCUGAUGCAGCGACGCCGCGUGAGUGAAGAAGCAUUUCGGUAUGUAAAGCUCUAUCAGCAGGGAAGAAGAAAGACGGUACCUGACUAGGAAUCCCCGUCUAACUAGGUGCCAGCAGCCGCGGUAAUACGUAGGGGGCAGGCGUUAUCCGGAUUUACUGGGUGUAAAGGGGGCGUAGACGGCUGUGCAAGUCUGAAGUGAAAGCCCGGGGCUCAACGCUGGGACUGCAUUGGAAACUGUGGAGCUAGAGUGCUGGAGGGGUAAGUGGAAUUCAUGGUGUAGCGGUGAAAUGCGUAGAUAUUAGGAGGAACACCAGUGGCGAAGGCGGCUUACUGGACAGCAACUGACGUUGAGGCUCGAAAGCGUGGGGAGCAAACAGGAUUAGAUACCCGGGUAGUC